rnacentral:lncRNA from 1 species
CACCACAAAACAUCAUUCAUAGCGCUCCAAAAACGCUAUGGUAGAAUUUCAUAGCGCUUUUACAAACGCUAUGUCUGCCGGAGCUAUAAUAGACCCCGAUGUUUCUAUAGCGUUUACUAAACGCUAUCUCAUAACGUAAUUACAUAGCGUUUAUUUUGCGUUACUGUUCAUCCUUUUUAUAGCACUUUCUAUAUGCCAUUGUUUAAUCACCAACGCUAUCAUACAUCAUUUUAUGGCACGUUGUAUGAGCUAUUAUUGAACUAAUAAAAGCAUUUUAUAAACGCUGUGUUACAUUAAGUUUUACUACA